CACACAUACCAUAUAAAAAACUACAUCAUGAACAAGGAUUUGCUAAGAAGAGUCUUGGUGUUGAUGAAUUCAAAGCAUACUUUUCUGGCCUUGUGUGCUCUUCGUUUUAUGAGGCGAAUAAUUGGCCUUAAGGAUGAGUUUUAUAAUCGUUACAUCACCAAAGGAAAUCUUUUUGAACCAGUUAUAAAUGCCCUUUUGGAUAAUGGAACUCGGUACAAUCUAUUAAAUUCAGCUGUUAUUGAAUUGUUUGAAUUUAUAAGAGUGGUAAGUUUAUGAUCUGCUAAGAUCUCUUAGUAAUCAUACGUAAACAAGUGAUUUUAAAUAAAAUAGUUGUAUGUAAUCAAAUUGAUUUAUUAUUUUCCUGAAGUUUAUUCUGUGUGUCUUAGAAUCUGUGUUUCUUAUAAUCUAUUUCUAAUAAACUGGAAUUUU
rnacentral:lncRNA from 1 species